UGACUCCGCCUCACUUCCCUCGCGCGAACAGUGGCUCGGCCAGCGCCAUUGUGGGCUCUCCCCACUUAGACGUCCAGCUCCUGCCACCACCCCCUUACCCGCUCGCGUCCCCGCCGGUGUGCCCGGCCUGACGUCGAAGCAUGGCCGGACGGGCUCCAAGGCCGAAGGCCUAGGCCGCAAGGAUACACGUUAAGUCGUUGUCCCAUGUCCUGGAGUAGAUUGGCCGCCUGCUGGCGUGCUUCAACCAAAAGGCAGCGGCGGGGGCUGCAAGCACUUCCCAGCGUCACCGAAGCGGCGACACACAUCCGCCGGGCCGAGACAACUGCGACGUGACGAACUUCCUCCCGAGAGUCGACUCCCAGCUUGUGACACACUUCCGCCCAGGAAGCCGGGCUUCAAGCGCCUACUUCCGAAAUGAACCCGGCGACACCCCGUAGACGCACCCGCAGCCAGUCCGCGACGAGGGACGCAGCCGCAGCCAAGACGCCGGCGCGCUCGGGUCACGUGACGCCCGGAGGCGGCGCGCUCUUCCAAGUUGUUCUUUGGAAGUCUCGCCGCUCCCCGCGAUAACUGUACGGAGGUCGCGUUGCCGGCGGUCCUUGGUCGUCUCAGGCUGCAUUUACAAAACUGGGUGUAUUGCUUACUGGCGCAUGCCUGUAGUCCCAGCACUGGUGAAGCGGAGGCAGGAGCGUCUCUGUGAGUUCGAGGGCAGCCUGGUCUGCAUCGAGAAAAAGCAGCUCUGUUGGUAGCAACCCUUCCUCCGUCUCACUGCGGAUAAACAACCGGAAGGAAUAAAACUAACCAUGCUGAUUUCA